rnacentral:rRNA from 1 species
UACGUAGGUGGCGAGCGUUGUCCGGAUUUACUGGGCGUAAAGAGCGCGCAGGCGGUCGUACAAGUCGCGUGUGAAAGCCCCCGGCUCAACUGGGGAGGGUCACGCGAUACUGUUCGACUCGAAGGCAGGAGAGGGAAGUGGAAUUCCCGGUGUAGUGGUGAAAUGCGUAGAUAUCUGGAGGAACACCGGUGGCGAAGGCGGCAUUCUGGACUGCAACUGACACUGAAAGACGAAAGCCAGGGGAGCAAACGGG